rnacentral:lncRNA from 1 species
GAAGGUAGCUGACUCGUCAGUAUUAGCUUCAAUUUUAUUUUAAUAACAUUUAGCAAUUCAUUCUUGGUUCAUUUUUUUUUCACAUUAUCAACUUUCUAAUCAUUAUUAUAUGCCAGUUUUUAUACGGUAAUUAAACACUGGCUACUAAGAGCUAAAUUAAAAAGAGAACUUUUUAAAUUAUAAAUACAGACAAAAAAAUUUAAGAAGUCAAGAUGAUUUCUUUUAUAUCACUUAAAUUAUUUUAUUUUGGG